rnacentral:rRNA from 1 species
AAUGGGCGAAAGCCUGACGGAGCAAGACCGCGUGAGGGAGGAAGGCUCUUGGGUUGUAAACCUCUUUUCUUGGGGAAGAACAAAAUGACGGUACCCAAGGAAUCAGCAUCGGCUAACUCCGUGCCAGCAGCCGCGGUAAUACGGAGGAUGCAAGCGUUAUCCGGAAUUAUUGGGCGUAAAGCGUCCGCAGGUGGCACUUCAAGUCUGCUGUCAAAGACCGGGGCUUAACCCUGGAAAGGCAGUGGAAACUGAAGAGCUAGAGUGUCGUAGGGGUAGAGGGAAUUCCUGGUGUAGCGGUGAAAUGCGUAGAGAUCAGGAAGAACAUCGGUGGCGAAAGCGCUCUACUGGACGACAACUGACACUCAGGGACGAAAGCUAGGGGAGCGAAUGGGAUUAGAUACCCC